CUGCGCAGUCGCUGAUGACGUCACAGAGAACAAGGCCUUUGAGCUGGGCCUUGAGGAUGAGUAGGGGGUUGUCAACUGGAGGGAGGGAGGCCCCUCCAGGCAGAUGGGUCCUGUGUGGCUGGAGGGAGCCCUGUGGGAGAGGCAGGGCGGAUGGAUGGAGGCCCAGCCGGGAGGCCUCUGAGAGCUGACACGGAGGAGAGAGCGAGGAGGCAUCACGACUCCUCAAAGGGGUGGGGAUCACAGACAGCGGAGCGUCAGGGAGGGGAGCUCUGAGAGUCUGGCCCAACCCAGAACGGAGGGACAGAGGGGACACUGCAGUCGCCAGCUCCGUCCCACGUCCCUCACCCUCCUUCCUCACUGCAUCCUCACAAUGACUCUAUGGCCGUGAUGUGGUAGUUCCAUUCUACAAACAUAAAAUGAAAGACCAGCGCCCCCCUCACCCCAGGGUAACCCGGUCUGGAUCCAGCUGCAUCGCUCCCUCGAUUUCCUGCAUAGGUAGACUUGCCAUCCACACGCAUUACCAAAAGCCAGAGUGGAUUCUGUUCCUCGCCUCUUAUAACCCCGAUGAUGCAGAGGAGAGUCUGAACUCGGGCCCGUCCGCCAACGAGCAGAGGUGCCGAGACAGGGACCAGGGAGUGUGUCUGGAGAUGGAGAUUCGAGAGGAGGUGGAGCGGAGGCUAGAACUCCAAGAGUCACCCACGCCCUCGAGCGAGGACCCCAAAGGGCACAGCAAGAACACAGCAGGCGUCAGACCCUGGAGGGACUUGAAGGCCAAGGACCAGAAUGUUGACAUUCUUCUUUGUUUUUUUUAAACCAAUCUUGAUUAUUCUUGACCCUGAGUACACAUCUUUUCCAUCUUCUACGUGAGGAACGGCAAGCACGGGGUGAAGGUUUCUGCCGCACAGAGAAGCACCAAGGCUAUCGCCAGGAAAGCUCUCGUGCGGUGGUUCUGAGUUCCUCCUGCCUCCCCACGCGUUAGAAGAGAGUGGCACCCCGGGUCUGACCUUGCCAAAAUUGUCCGCUCCUCUAGGAAGGAAGAAAUCUCUACACUGAUCAGCAAAAUGUUUCUGUAAUUCUGGAAACCCAGUGACCAGGUCACUAGCUUUCAGGCUGUCUUGUCUCACAGCUGCUGAGGCUGAUAAGUGACGUUCCAUCUUUUUAGGCUACAUUAAUUUAAAUAAAGCCUUU
rnacentral:lncRNA from 1 species